rnacentral:misc_RNA from 1 species
GGAAGCAGGCUUCGGCCUUGUUUCC